UCCUUGUGCUGUAGAGAAUGUCUUAGGUCAUGAUUCUGGCUCCUUGAAUUUCAGCUUUUUAUUGAUGUUAAAUCUAUCUUUAUUUCCUUUUAGAAUGUUUGUUACAUAAACUCAAUUAUCUGUUGAAGUUUUAUUCCAUUUCAGAUUAGCUGUGCUGUGUGUGCAGAGACUGGAGAUAUUAGUAGACAGCCAGGCGUAGUGUUACGCAAGUGCGGAUGCAGCAGUUUGAUGACUGCUGGGACAGUGAAGAAACGCAGAACUGUGCCUGCCAGGUGGAGCUCAAGGUUUUCCACGGACUGAGUGGCAGAGAAACAGAGCGACACAGCCCGCAGCCCGCCUCGCCCUGCCCGGGUGGCGACGCUCCGUUCUCUGGCGCCCCCCAGGGGCGAGCUCCGCGCGGCUCAGAGCUAUUGGUCUCCUGCUGGACAGAGCCUACGGGGCCCACGGACUGAGAGCAUCGGAUCUUAAAACCCCCCUCAGACAACUCGUGCGACCUCGUGAGCCCCGCACUAUUCUCAGCAGGCAGCAACUCACACUGCCGCUGUUGGCCUUGUAAAAGCUGACCAACUGGAAAGCAGCUUUGCAGAGAAGGAGCUGUGGGUCCUGGUGAACAUCAAGUUGAGCGCAAGCCAGCAGUGUGCCCUUGCCACAAAGAAGGCAGAUGGGCUGCAUUUGGAAAAAUAUUGCCAGCAGGUUGAAGGAGGUGAUCCUUCCCCUGUGCUCAAAAUUGGUGACGUCCAACCUGUGUCCAGUUCUGGGAUUCUCAGCAUAGGAGAGGAUGGACAUACUGUAAAGAGUCCCAUGAAGAGCCACUAAAAUGGUUAAGGGGUUGGAGCAUCUUUCAGAAGAGGAAAGGCUGAAAGAAAUGGGACUCUUCACCCUGGCAAAGAGAAGGCUCACAGGGGAUUUCAUCAGUGUAUACCAAUAUCUGAAGGGCGAGGGCAAAGGUGAUGCUCACCGGCAGAACAAGAGGCAAUGGGUACAAACUGAAACAUGUAAGUUUCUGCCUUCAACAUCAGGAGGGUCCCUGUGAACUGGAACAGGUAGUCCUGAGAGGUGGUGGAGUCUCUGUCCUUGGAGAUAGUCAAUGUUUGUCUCAGCAUGGUCCUGGACAACUGACUCUAGGUGUCCCUUCUUGAGCAGGGGGUUUGAAUAAGAUGACCUCCAGGAGGUCCCUUCCAGCCUCAACCAUUCUGACAUUCUGUGAUUUUGGUCUGAUAGGUAUCAGGUUUUGAGUCAGGGUUCAAGACUACCAUCUUUUACUGUUAGUUCUUCAACUAGCAUAUUGUGUCACUCUCACGAACAUAACUGAACUUCUUUUCUCAUCUCUAUAUUAGAUUUUCAUAUUAGAUUUUCAAGCCAGGACUACCUAUGGACUGUCCAGGUUAAUGUCUAAGCAGUGUCAUUACUAUUUAGUGUAGGUAAUGGUUACAAAAAACUAGUAACUGAAAGCCAGUGUGUAAACUUAAGUAGGCAGAAUAUGACUGCCUGUGUUGUCUCAUGGUUCUUUCAGAAUUGAUCAACCUAUGAAUUAUAUUCUUUGUAAGAAAAAUGACACAAAUGGAAAUAAUAUAACACUUAGAAUCAAACCGUAUUAAAAUUGUAAGAUGGGAAAACUACAAAAUAUCUACUGAUGUAAUGCUUGUCACUGAGUGUCUUCCUUUCAUGGACAGUGGAUUCCGAAUAAACUAUAGAAAAAUA